UACGGGGGGGGCAAGCGUUGUUCGGAAUUACUGGCGUAAAGGGCUCGUAGGCGGCCAACUAAGUCAGACGUGAAAUCCCUCGGCUUAACCGGGGAACUGCGUCUGAUACUGGAUGGCUAGAGGUUGGGAGAGGGAUGCGGAAUUCCAGGUGUAGCGGUGAAAUGCGCAGAUAUCAGGAGGAACACCGGUGGCGAAGGCGGGUCUCUGGGCCGAAAUUGACGCUGAGGAGCGAAAGCGUGGGGGAGCAAACAGG
rnacentral:rRNA from 1 species